UUGUGUAAAGAGAGAAAAAAAAUUUUCUUUGCAUUUUGUCUUUUUAAAAUUGCCAUCGUUUGUCCAUACAUUAUUAUCAUUAUGAUUUGCUUUCAUGAAACACCAAUGACAAUCAAGAAUUUCAGCAAUUCAAUAUCAUCGAUCCAUUAUAAAGUUCUGUAUUGUGAUUAUGACAUUCAUUCAUUGUUUUUUGGGCCAUUAUAAGGAAUCUUAGGAACCCAAUGGAAUUUUACUCAUUCGUUCGUUAUAAUCUGUUAAUUAAAAAUUAUUUUUUCGUUUGGAAAAAAUGGAUUACAAAACUUUUGUUAGCAAUUUGAGUUUAAUGAAAAAAAAACAACUACGACUAAGUAUUUAAAAAAAAAAUUCCAACGAAUGCACUUGAUUUUUUUUUUCGUUUGAUACAGUGGUACCUUGGUUAUUGAUUGGCCAUGACGAUUCGAUUGUAUAACAACAAAUUAUAAUA